GUGACUUGGGUUUAGCCUGUGACCACACAGUCCUGGUCACCCUGCACAGACUGCCAAUAAAGAGGGGUCCGAGGCCCAGCUCCUUGGCUCCCCUGCAGUGUCUCCAAAAGGGAAGCUGAGGCUGUGGUGUCACAUAGCGGAGCCAGAAGUGGGACCGAAGUGAAUUCAUCUUGGAUGAAUCAGCGUGUCCUGGAAUCUAACGCAGUGUUGACUGAGCCCCCCGCAGACUGCCUUUCCAGGAGUUGCUUUUCUGUUCUGGUGAAUCUCCUCAAAUACCCAGAUUCCCUCCCUUUGGUCAGUUCCUUUUUACUUUAUCCUGGAUGUGAUUUGAUUAUAAGGCUCCCUUAAACAAAGGACCUUGCAUCCCUCCUGAGGGUAUAAAGGUUGGGUUUCUUUCUUUCUUUCUUUCUUUCUUUCUUUCUUUCUUUCUUUCUUUCUUUCUUUCUUUCUUUCUUUUUUUUGCUUCUUUGCUUUUGGCAAGCACUUUCUGGUGUAAAGAGCAGUGCCCUUCUGGUUUGAGGACUCUGAGUUCUAAAGAAUUUAUGUUCUGUCCAUGAGGCAAGUCUUUCCUGGUGAAUUCACUUUUGGUUCUGGAUGCCUGACUGAAUAUUAUGUUUGAUGUGUACACCUUGGUUGAAAUUUUGUGAGCAUUCUGAUUUGGGUUUGAUUUUGGUUUGGUUUCCCACGUCUUUAAAUGAUUUGGCUCAUUUUUUUUUCUUGCUUGUUCCUGAACAUCUUCUGAUCAUCCCACAGCAAAAAUAAACAUAAAUAGUUUAGCACCAUAGGAAAUGUUAAAACACACGUACACACGGUGAGGGUCGGCCCCUCGAGGUGGCUCCUGUCUGUAAUCCCUGCACUCUGGGAGGCCAAGGUGAGAGAAUGGCUUGAGCUAAGGAGUUGGAGACCAGCCUGGGCAACAUGAUGAAACCCCACCUCUACAAAUAACACAAAAAUUAGCUGGGUGUGGCAGCUCCCACCUGUAGUCCCAGCUAUCAGGAGGCUGAUGUGGGAGGAUUGCUUGAGCCCAGGAGGUCGAGGCUACCAUGACUUGUGGUCCUGCCACUGCACUAAAGCCUGUUUAACAGUGAGAAUUGUCUCAAAAAAUACACAUAUGGUGAGUGUGAGAAAGCCAACUGAAAGAACCCAGGGUGUCACCACCAUCUAAAACACUGGUCCAGACUCCUGACAGUCCCUGACAGGGUUUAUAGGAUUUUCUUUGCUUCUCAGAGAUGAAAAAGAAAUGGAAUGGCAUUCUCAGACACUAAGGCGUGCCAGAUUUUCUGGGACUCCAGGCAGCUACAUGGCUUUCCCUGUGCACAUUUCAAAAUCAAUGGCCAUCAUUGGAAUCAUUUGAACUCCUCAAAUUUGCUUUUUCCUAAUACUGAAUUUUUAAACUGCCAACUACAAAGUUAAAUGGAGAGCCUUCUAAGUUGUCUACUUCUGUCUCUCUCUUUUCUGCCUACUUGGAAUCUGCUGACAUUUCUGCUGGCAUUAAGAUAAACUGAUAAUAUCACACUCCAGCCAACAUAAAAACCACUAAGGAAGGGGUCUUGAAGGGCUUUCAAAUUAAUGGCUCUAUAAAUUACAACAGCUCCGUGGCAAACAACAACCUAGAGACCUUUUGGAAAUGUAAAUUCAGGUUUGCCUAACAGUUGCUUCGGGUGAUGGAACAGUCCACGGAAGGAUUGAUAUUAGAAAAGAACAGAAUGAGAGAAAUGUUUAUAAAUGUUAGGCACCCAGAUUAAACAGGUCAAAAUCAUGAGCUCAGAGCAAUAAUGAAAAGGAUCUCUGUUUCUGGCAUAAAAACUGCUUCUCUGCUACACAG
rnacentral:lncRNA from 10 species